UCUCUCUCUCCCUCUCUCUCUCUCUCUCUCUCUCUCUCUCUCCUCUGCGUAUUACUGUUGCUGACGACGCAGGAGUACUUUCCGGCCACCAUUUUUAGCCACGCGCCGGACCGUUGGAUUCAGAGGCCUCCGAACUAUCGACCCACGCGGGAAUCUAGAGCUCACUCGCCGAUUAAACGCCUCAACCACUCGAUUUAAGUUCGGCCACCCCGCGACUUCAAAGUUGCGAUUCGGCCACCUCGGGCAUCCGUUUGCCGAUCCGUCACCACCAUCGUGUUCCUCGUGUUGUGGGCUUCAAAACCCAAUAACUUGUUCCUACAUCUACCAUAGUUAGGUGGUGGGCCCACCACGAGCCACCGCGAUCCACCGUAGACCGACGGUCGAAACUUAGUGUUCGGGGUUUUGAAGUACGUUUUGAGUCUCAGAAAAUCAUCGUUUGACUUGUUGUGGAACCCGAUCACUUUGGAUUUGUAUGGAUUUAAUUGAUUGACUCUUGGUGAGCCGUUUUAAAAUAAGCUAAGGACCUAAGGUGUGGCUUUAGCUGUUGAGCAACUUGUGGAGCACGGACUCAGUAGCAAUGCAAUAAUAGUUUAGAGUUUUCAUAUGGCUGCCUUAAAUUUAAAGUAUUCAUACGUGUAAUAAUUUCUUCUAAUAAGUUUAUAUAAAAGUUUUAAAUUUUUCUGUAUUUCUUCGUAUCAUUUUAUUUAAUUCUUUUGGUCAAGUGCCUUACAUACUCGUAAACCCUAGAAUUACGAGUAUGUGGCAGACGUACCCUACCUUAGGGACGUUACAAUAUCAUUAUGGAAGACCACAGGCAGGCUAAUUGCAAUGUCAUUGGGGAACUAAUAAAAUCAAAAUACAUGUCAAUAAAGAGAGUACACACACCACAUGACAUA